rnacentral:rRNA from 1 species
AACGAACGCUGGCGGCAUGCCUAACACAUGCAAGUCGAACGAGACCUUCGGGUCUAGUGGCGCACGGGUGCGUAACGCGUGGGAACCUGCCCUUAGGUUCGGAAUAACUCCCCGAAAGGGGUGCUAAUACCGGAUAAUGUCUUCGGACCAAAGAUUUAUCGCCUUUGGAUGGGCCGGCGUUGGAUUAGCUAGUUGGUAGGGUAAAAGCCUACCAAGGCGACCAUCCAUAGCUGGUCUGAGAGGAUGAUCAGCCACACUGGGACUGAGACACGGCCCAGACUCCUACGCGAGGCAGCAGUGGGGAAUAUUGGACAAUGGGCUGAAGCCUGAUCCAGCAAUGCCGCGUGAGUGAUGAAGGCCUUAGGGUUGUAAAGCUCUUUUACCCGGGAUGAUAAUGACAGUACCGGGAGAAUAAGCUCCGGCUAACUCCGUG